rnacentral:rRNA from 1 species
GAUUCCUACGGGAGGCAGCAGUAGGGAAUCUUCCACAAUGGGCGAAAGCCUGAUGGAGCGACGCCGCGUGCAGGAUGACGGCCUUCGGGUUGUAAACUGCUUUUAUGUGGGAAGAUUAUGACGGUACCACAUGAAUAAGAGUUGGCUAACUCCGUGCCAGCAGCCGCGGUAAUACGGAGAACUCAAGCGUUACCCGGAAUCACUGGGCGUAAAGCGUUGCGUAGGCGGUUUUGCAAGUCGGAUCUUAAAGGCCAAGGCUCAACCUUGGAACUGGGUACGAUACUACAAAACUGGAGGAUGGUAGAGGUGAGUGGAAUUGCUGGUGUAGGUGUGAAAUCCGUAGAUAUCAGCAGGAACACCAAUGGCGAAGGCAGCUCACUGGGCCAUUCCUGACGCUGAUGCACGAAAGCGUAGGGAGCGAACCGGAUUAGAUACCCGGGUAGUCUACGCCGUAAACGAUGGAUACUGUCUGUCGGAGGUAUCGACCCCUUCGGUAGAGAAGCUAACGCGUUAAGUAUCCCGCCUGGGGAGUACGGCCGCAAGGCUAAAACUCAAAGGAAUUGACGGGGACCCGCACAAGCGGUGGAGCGUGUGGUUUAAUUCGAGGCUACGCGAAGAACCUUACCAAGGUUUGACAUCCUUGUCGCCGCUCUAAGAAAUUAGAGCUUCAUUUAGUUGGACAAGUGACAGGUGAUGCAUGGCCGUCGUCAGCUCGUGUCGUGAGAUGUCAGGUUAAGUCCUUCAACGAGCGCAACCCUCGUGAAUAGUUGUAUAUGUCUAUUCAGACUGCCUCGGUAACGGGGAGGAAGGAGGGGAUGACGCCAGGUCAGCAUGUCCCUUACACCUUGGGCUACACACACGCUACAAUGGCCGGUACAAUGGGCUGCCAAGUCGCAAGAUGGAGCUAACCCCACCAAAACCGGUCCCAGUUCGGAUUGUAGGCUGAAACUCGCCUGCAUGAAGUUGGAAUCGCUAGUAACCGUAGGUCAGCACACUACGGUGAAUACGUUCCCGGGCCUUGUACACACCGCC